rnacentral:rRNA from 1 species
UACGUAGGGUGCGAGCGUUGUCCGGAAUUAUUGGGCGUAAAGAGCUUGUAGGCGGUUUUGUCGCGUCUGCCGUGAAAUUUCGAGGCUCAACCUCGAACUUGCGGUGGGGUACGGGCAGACUAGAGUGUGGUAGGGGAGACUGGAAUCCUGGUGGAGCGGUGAAAUGCGUAGAGAUUGGAAAGAACACCGAUGGCGAAGGCACUUUACUGGGCUAUUACUAACACUCAGAGACGAAAGCUAGGGUAGCAAAUGGG